GACGAACGCUGGCGGCGUGCUUAACACAUGCAAGUCGAACGGAAAGGCCCUGCUUGCAGGGUACUCGAGUGGCGAACGGGUGAGUAACACGUGGGUGAUCUGCCCUGCACUUCGGGAUAAGCCUGGGAAACUGGGUCUAAUACCGGAUAGGAGCCAUUUUUAGUGUGAUGGUUGGAAAGUUUUUUUCGGUGUAGGAUGAGCUCGCGGCCUAUCAGCUUGUUGGUGGGGUAAUGGCCUACCAAGGCGGCGACGGGUAGCCGGCCUGAGAGGGUGGACGGCCACAUUGGGACUGAGAUACGGCCCAGACUCCUACGGGAGGCAGCAGUGGGGAAUAUUGCACAAUGGGCGCAAGCCUGAUGCAGCGACGCCGCGUGGGGGAUGACGGCCUUCGGGUUGUAAACUACUUUCGCUAGGGACGAAGCUUUUUGUGACGGUACCUAGAUAAGAAGCACCGGCUAACUACGUG
rnacentral:rRNA from 1 species